AUUUCCAUAAAGUACCAAAGUGGAUAUCCUCUAAUGCUAAUCCAUAGAGGAACCGAUCAUGGACUUCUCUUUCAAUCUUUUUUUUGAAUCCCUUCUUAACGAAUUCGGUGCCCUUUCUCACUUUUAUUUUUGGUUUACCACGAACUCUUCUGAGGCAUCCCAAAUUUCAGGCAUGAGAUAUGUGGUGUGUCUCCUCCUCAAGGC
rnacentral:lncRNA from 1 species